rnacentral:rRNA from 1 species
AUCCACACGACUCUCGGCAACGGAUAUCUCGGCUCUCGCAUCGAUGAAGAACGUAGCGAAAUGCGAUACCUGGUGUGAAUUGCAGAAUCCCGCGAACCAUCGAGUCUUUGAACGCAAGUUGCGCCCGAGGCCAUUCGGCCGAGGGCACGCCUGCCUGGGCGU